rnacentral:rRNA from 1 species
UCCUACGGGUGGCUGCAGUAGGGAAUAUUGCGCAAUGGACGCAAGUCUGACGCAGCAACGCCGCGUGGGUGAUGAAGCUCCUUGGAGUGUAAAACCCUGUCAGUGGGGAAGAAACGUACGGGUAGUAACUGACUCGUGCCUGACGGUACCCACAGAGGAAGUCCCGGCUAACUCCGUGCCAGCAGCCGCGGUAAUACGGGGGGGACUAGCGUUGUUCGGAUUUACUGGGCGUAAAGGGCGCGUAGGCGGACCUUCAAGUCGGGUGUGAAACCUGUCGGCUUAACUGACAGCCUGCACUUGAUACUGUUGGCCUUGAGUACAGGAGAGGAGAGCGGAAUUCCUGGUGUAGCGGUGAAAUGCGUAGAUAUCAGGAAGAACACCGGUUGCGAAGGCGGCUCUCUGGACUGAUACUGACGCUUAAGCGCGAAGGCUUGGGGAGCAAACAGGAUUAGAUACCCCUGUAGUC